rnacentral:lncRNA from 1 species
AUGUGGGGAGGAAAAAUUUUCAGCAUCUGCCUCAAAACUUUAAUGCCUGGAUUCUUUCUGCAGAGAAUACUCUCAAAGCGUUCAGACUUUCCUCUGCCAACAAAUCAGAGGAAGAGUCCUCGUCAUUCUCUUGAGACGUCAGAGAGACUCAGGCAGCACUUCCUAAAGGAAAGGGAUGGUGAAAUCCUAUAUACCGGAAGUGGAGAAUAAAAUGAACUGUCAUCAAGAUAGCUGCAUACUUCCUACACGAAUACUGGAAACUGGGCGCAGGAUCGCACCUGAGGCAGGCUGGCCCUGAGCAUCUUCUCGGUCCUCUGGGUAGGAGCCUCGGCCCGGCAGAGUGAGGACACAUGGGAAAGGGGUGCUGGGGCCUCGGGUUUGGUUUUGUUUUCUUCCUGCUAUUUGAGCAGGGGGUAAAAUGAAAGGUUUCCUUCUGACCCCAACCACUCCCUCUCUCCAAAACAGAUACAAAAUAGAGGCUGAAUUUCAGAUUAGGGUGGAUUGGAGCCUAGAGGGGAGGAGUUAUCUGAGUAUGUGAGAGCUGCACUGGGUCCUGAUCGGGACGGGGAGAGGGGCAUUCAGGGCCGGACACCCCCACGUAGUCACAGGGGCUCCCUGGGCCAGAUGCCCCCACAUAGUCACAAGGGCUCCCUGGGCCAGACGCCCCCACAUAGUCACGGGGGGCUCCCUGGGGCCAGAUGCCCCCACAUAGUCACAAGGGCUCCCUGGGCCAGACGCCCCCCCGUAGGCAAAAGAGGGCCCACGG